UACGGAGGGUGCGAGCGUUGUCCGGAAUCAUUGGGCGUAAAGGGCGCGUAGGUGGCCCGGUCAGUUCGUGGUGAAAGCGCGGGGCUCAACCCUGCGUCGGCCAUGAAUACUGCCGCGGCUGGAGCACUGUAGAGGCAGGCGGAAUUCCGGGUGUAGCGGUGGAAUGCGUAGAGAUCCGGAAGAACACCGGUGGCGAAGGCGGUUAGCUGGGCAGUUGCUGGACACUGAGGCGCG
rnacentral:rRNA from 1 species